rnacentral:rRNA from 1 species
GACGAACGCUGGCGGCGUGCCUAAUACAUGCAAGUUGAGCGCUGAAGGUUGGUACUUGUACCAACUGGAUGAGCAGCGAACGGGUGAGUAACGCGUGGGGAAUCUGCCUUUGAGCGGGGGACAACAUUUGGCAACGAAUGCUAAUACCGCAUAACACCUUUAAACACAAGUUUUAAGUUUGAAAGAUGCAAUUGCAUCACUCAAAGAUGAUCCCGCGUUGUAUUAGCUAGUUGGUGAAGUAAAGGCUCACCAAGGCGGUGAUACAUAGCCGACCUGAGAGGGUGAUCGGCCAGAUUGGGACGGAGACACGGCCCAAACGCCUACGGGCGGCAGCAGGAGGGAAUCGUCGGCAAUGGACGAAAGUCUGACCGAGCAACGCCGCGUGAGUGAAGAAGGAUGUCGGGUCGUAAAACUCAAGUGGUAGAGAAGAACGUUAAUGAGAGUGGAGAGCUCAUCAAGUGACGGUAACUACCCAGAAAGGGACGGCUAACUACGUG